GCCGCCCAGCCGUUCGUAGCGUGACGUCACUGUAUAGCCCAAGCAAAGGGGCGUGGUCUAAGGCGGAAGUGUUUGUUCUUGUGUAGCAGAUGUAUAUACCUUGGAUCAUGAUCUUCAUACCCCCAUAGACCCACCGGGGAUCCCUUUCCUGGAUCUCUGGGGGCGAGUGAACAAAGGGCCUUGAUUUGAGAAGGUGACCUCAAACAAGAUGGUGUGUGAGUUCUUUCUGCUGUCCUCCAUCUGGUUCGUUGUGGUCAUCUUUUGGAUGGAGACAAUCAGUAUGUGGUUGUUCCUGUGCCAUUUAUUCCAAGACAGAGCAAUGUAUCAGUGGGGAGAAAGGAUUUACAUCACCCAUCCUGACCAGAUCAUGUACAUAAUUAUUACAGUUGACUCUUUGAGGUAGCCCUAUACUUCACUGGCGCUGACUGGAUUAUUUUCCAAAUGCUUGAAGAGAAGGGCGGUGGACUGAAUUUUGCCAAGGGACAGGAAGGGAUGAAAGUGCCAUUUUAAAUUAAAAAACAUAGUAUUUUGAAAAUCUUUUUAAUGAUGUUAUAAAAGUAAAUUUGGGUGAAAUAUACGAGACACCCCUGACCAGUGUGGAAGAUAAUGUUCUGCCUGUGAAAUUCUUUUUUAUAUAUUGGUAAGACUUUUGGAUGGUCAGCAAGCUUAUAGAAAGAAAAACUGCCUGGUAAAUUCAAUGUAGGGCUGUUGCUGCUUCAGCUUUUAAGGUCCGUGUCUGGCUAUUAGUUGGACUCCCACCAGUGUUCCGUGGAAUGCACUAUCCGUAAAGGAAGCCUUAAAAUGUCACUGUUAUUUUCUGAGUGCCAUAUGGAAUCUGUGGAUACAGUGGCUGGAAUGGUACUCUGGAAUCUGCCAUACUGAAAAUCAAUCAAACCUAUAUCUUUUCAAGUUUUUAUUACAGUAUGUUGUAAUUUUUAAACCAUUUGUAGUUUUUAUGUGUUUGAAUAUAUUUUAAAAAUAAAUCUUAUUUUCAUUUAAAAA